rnacentral:lncRNA from 1 species
AUUUACUGUGCUAGAUUGACUUCAUGAUGUCAAUCCAUCUUUAGAUAAUCCAUCUUUAGAGCAAUGACAUUAGAGGGUAACUUUUGCUAGCUGUUAACCGUGCUUUAAUUUAAAAAUUAGAAUAUAUAUAUGUAUGUAUGUAUUUCUCAGUUAGCUUGUUAUAAUUCUGUUUUAUUGUUUUCCUUAGGAUAUUAGCUGCAAUGAGAUUCAAGUCCUUCCCCAACAAAUGGGAAAAUUACAUUCACUUAGAGAGCUAAAUAUAAGAAGAAAUAAUCUUCAUGUUUUGCCAGAUGAAUUAGGAGAUCUUCCCUUAGUCAAGCUGGAUUUCUCUUGUAAUAAAGUGACCGAAAUUCCAGUUUGUUACAGAAAGCUGCAUCAUUUACAAGUAAUAAUUUUGGAUAACAAUCCAUUGCAAGUACCACCAGCACAGGUUUGUAAUAAAAAUAUUUUACAUGUUUCUUCUCAUUUUUAUUCAUAAUUUUAUCUGUUUGUGACUGGUAAAUCAAAAAG